rnacentral:tRNA from 1 species
GCCGCAAUGUUGGAAUGGUAGACAAGAAGGACUUAAAAUCCUUUGGGCAGUAAUGCUCGUGUGGGUUCAAGUCCCACUUGCGGUACAA